rnacentral:rRNA from 1 species
AUUGAACGCUGGCGGCAGGCCUAACACAUGCAAGUCGAGCGGUAACAUUUCAAAAGCUUGCUUUUGAAGAUGACGAGCGGCGGACGGGUGAGUAAUGCCUGGGAAUUUGCCCAUUUGUGGGGGAUAACAGUUGGAAACGACUGCUAAUACCGCAUACGCCCUACGGGGGAAAGCAGGGGACCUUCGGGCCUUGCGCUGAUGGAUAAGCCCAGGUGGGAUUAGCUAGUAGGUGAGGUAAAGGCUCACCUAGGCGACGAUCCCUAGCUGGUCUGAGAGGAUGAUCAGCCACACUGGGACUGAGACACGGCCCAGACUCCUACGGGAGGCAG